GGUUUAUGUUUGUGUCCCCCAGGCCUCAUGAGUUUGCACUGUUCAUUUGUGAUGGUUCAUUGUAUAGUGCUUGGAUUGAUGGGUCAGUGCUCCACCCACAUAGGGGUGGAGCCAGGAUGUGAUGUAAUGGCAGGAAGAAGGUGUGUCUUUCUCUUUGCUGGUUCGAGCUUGCUGUUUGCAGCCGCCAUGAACUGCAGCCCAGCCAUGCCUGCCUGUCUUGGAGCCAACUGAGUGUGGACUGAAACCUCCAAAAACUGUAAGAAAUAAACCUUUCCUUUCCCAACUUGGGCAUCAGGUAUUUUGUUUCAGCGACGAUCAUAAAGUAACUAAGACAGAAAUUUGGUACCGAGGAGUGGGGUCGUUUGCUGUGACUAUACCUGGCCAUGUUUUUCAAGAGGCUUUGGAAAUGGCUUGUGGGCAGAGUUUGGAAAGGUUUGGACAUGUCGCCUGGAUGCAUAGAGCUGGAGCAGCUUAGGCUGUUCUGUAGAGCUCAGGAGACCAGAAGGCUGAUGAUAGAAACCCUCAUGGUAAAGACCAGGCUUGGGAGGUUUCUGCUGGGAAGGACUGCAUUGGUUGUUGGACUCCACAUGAUGUAUGUUAUGGCUUGGCAGAAAGUUUGUCUGCAUUUUGCUCCUGCCCAGAGACUUUGCCUGAGACUGAGACAAAGGGCAAUGGACUGAUUAAUCUUGAAAAAGAAAUUAAGAAGCAAUCGAACAUUGAGGCUGUGGCAUGGCUAUUGUUGGUGGCUUUCAGCCAGCUUUAUGUUUCAAAUCAGGAGCAAAGAGCCCAGCAGGAUAAUGUACAAUGCUGUGAGUUUGGCCCAAAGGAAGAUUCCAGGAAGGGUGUGGAUUAUAAAGACAGAGUUGAGAUUUUGAUUCCUGAGGAGAAAUAGAGAGAUAAGAAAGAUGGCCCUGGGGCAUCCCAGGAAGCAGGUCCCCACCCUGUGCAGCCUCACAGCAAAGAUGAAAAAUUUUGCUCAGAGGAAAAAGGUACAAAGUGCCAUGCUCCAGAAUGGCGACAGAGGCCAAGUGAGGUUCCAGAAUGGCGACAGAGGCCACAUGAGGUUCCAGAAUGGCGGCAACACAGAGAAGCUUUUUCUCACAAUCAGGUAAACAGAGCCCUGCGAUCCAGGCAACUGAGCCCUACAGCCAAGAGAGAGAAAAGCCUGGCUACUGCUUCAGGUAGCAGCAAACCUUGGCGGCAUCCACAAGGUGCUGAUUUUAGGUGCAAGGAAAAUGAACAAAUUCUGAGGGUAAGACAGCUUCCACCUCGAUUGCAAAGGGCCUGGCUGGCCAUGCAGUGUGCCCCUGAGAGGGCAAUUUGUGAAGAUGUAAGUGUGAAGCCGAAGGUGCAGUGGAGACCCCAGAAGUUUGGAAAAGCCAGGAAUGUGGAUGAUCCAAGGAAAGCUGCAAAAAGUGAGCAGAGAGGAUUUAAGAGAAAAGCUGCUGGAGUUGAAAUCGCUGGAAGUGCCCUGGGGGUGGAAUCACCCAAGGCUUUUGGAACUUGCAACCAGAUUGCUUCAGAUGCUGAAUGUAGAACUCUAGGACUUAAUGUUUGCCCUGCUGGAUGUUGGAAUUGCUUUGUUUUGAAUGCUUUCUAUUCUUCUGUUUGUAACUUUUGGAAUGGUAAUAUUUAUCUUGUACCUUUGCAUUUCAGAAAUGUUUAACCUUGUUUCUUUUGUACAGGGGCUUAUAGUUAAGAGUUUGCCAUAGAUCUUGGAGGAGACUUGGGACUUGGACUUUUCAGCAAUGUUGAAGCUGUUAGGACUUUGGCAACUCUUGGAGAUGGACUAAAUGUCUUUUGUAUAAAGGAUGUACAUGAGUCCUGGGGGCCAGGGGUGGAAUGUCAUGGUUUAUGUUUGUGUCCCCCAGGCCUCAUGAGUUUGCACUGUUCAUUUGUGAUGGUUCAUUGUAUAGUGCUUGGAUUGAUGGGUCAGUGCUCCACCCACAUAGGGGUGGAGCCAGGAUGUGAUGUAAUGGCAGGAAGAAGGUGUGUCUUUCUCUUUGCUGGUUCGAGCUUGCUGUUUGCAGCCGCCAUGAACUGCAGCCCAGCCAUGCCUGCCUGUCUUGGAGCCAACUGAGUGUGGACUGAAACCUCCAAAAACUGUUUUGAAAGGCUGCCAUCACUGGACUUGGAGUAGAGCCUGGACACAGUGUGUCUUGCUCCAUACUCAUCCUAGAGCUUGGAGACAUCCCCUGUGAUUGAUCCUAAGAAGGUUCUGUGGCCAAAGGCUACAUGAAGUCGUUACCAGGUUGUAGGGUGCUAGAAUCUCCUUCUUCAUGUGGUUUCCAGGUUCUUUCUGUCCUGAGCAAAGAAUUGGUCGAGAUCCACACAAAAGGAUGAAAGUGAACCACUGUGAAAAAGAGAACACAGCAGCCAAGAGCUCAAGGAUGGCUGUCUUGUGCAUCUCCCACUCCUCAAGCUGAUGUCAGGUCUAGACCGUCCUAUCAAAACCUGCUCAAGUUCCUGCAAGAAGAAUUGAACAAAGCCAGGUGCAGGGCUUUGGGAAAUGUUCUGUGAAUACAUCCUGGAACUCUGUGAUCAACUCCCACUGCCCAUUUCCCCAACCAGUUUGCCUUAAUUCCUUCCCCCUUUCCCCCAAAAGACAUAAAUCCUCAUAAUUUUUUAUGGGGUGCUGAAGUAGAAGUUUCCAUCUUUGUAUAGAUACUUUCUGCUGGAAGGGGCUAUUGGCCCUGCCUAAUGAGGAUUAUGUCCUCUCCAACUUCCUUAGGAUGUUUGUGGGUCACCAGCUAGGUUGGGAAAAAAACCUGAAGUAGUACUGGAGUCUUGUUUUAUGAGGAGGAACAUCAGAGGUUCACAACCAUAGCUUUCUCCGCAGUCCUGUGAAAAUUCUAAUGACUAUUUCCCAUGCAGGGCUUUUAUAGCUUUCUCCUGUGCCCCUUGAGGAAGACCACCUUAAAUGGUUCCUCAGGAACAGGAAAUAAGGCUGAGGUCUUGAGGUGCUCCAAGGCCGUGCUUCUUCUGCCUCUCUGUCAGACUUGUUAUUUCUCAAGUAGAGUUUAAACAUGUCUCUCUGGUGUCCCUUACAAUGAAUUGCAGUGAUCCAUAUGGGAAGAAUAGCUCAUGCCCUCCUUCUUGGUAAGCGACCAUGGCACAAGCGAGAGGCAGACGAGCCAGGAAGAGAACCAGUCAGAGUCUCCCCUGAGCCUACUGGUGCCAAAUGUCCCAUUUCCUCACCCCACCCCCAUUAGCAACUGGGAGCCAGAGGUCUGAGCAUCUCUUGGGAGGACGACCAUAUGCAAUACAGCAAAUAUGGAGGAUUUCCUUCUGUAUUCUCUUUGAAGGUAAAUGUUUUCACUGUUUUGCUCUGUUUUGAUUAAUUGUUUUGCUCUAUUCAAUAUUCUGUUUUGAUAGGUUUAUAAUGCUCUGGUUUUGGUUUUAUUUUGCUAUACCUGAUUGAAUGGACAAUUAUUAUGAAGAAAAUGAGAUAUAGUAUGGUAGUUAUUACUGAUAUCCCAGUAUCCUGCUGUGAAGUUCUGUACCAAUUUCACUGCAAUGUCUCUGUUUGCUUUGUUCUGUCUGGUUCUGUUGUAUUUUAUUAUCUUCAAAAAACAAACAAACAAACAAAAAGAAUAGUCCUAA